rnacentral:rRNA from 1 species
UGCCAGACUCCUACGGGAGGCAGCAGUGGGGAAUAUUGCACAAUGGGGGGAACCCUGAUGCAGCGACGCCGCGUGGGUGAAGGAGCACCUCGGUGCGUAAAGCCCUAUCGGCAGGGAAGAAAAGCGAACAGGUUCGCCUGGACGGUACCUGACUAAGAAGCCCCGGCUCACUACGUGCCAGCAGCCGCGGUAAUACGUAGGGGGCAAGCGUUAUCCGGAUUUACUGGGUGUAAAGGGAGCGCAGGCGGCGCGUUAAGCCUGGUGUGAAAGCCCGCGGCCCAACCGCGGGACUGCAUUGGGAACUGGCGCGCUGGAGUGCCGGAGGGGUAGGCGGAAUUCCUAGUGUAGCGGUGAAAUGCGUAGAUAUUAGGAGGAACACCAGUGGCGAAGGCGGCCUACUGGACGGUGACUGACGCUGAGGCUCGAAAGCGUGGGGAGCAAACAGGAUUAGAUACCCGAGUA